AACGUAGGACACAAGCGUUUAUCCGGAGUUACUGGGCGUAAAGGGCGUGUAGGCGGACCUAUAAGUCUAUUCUGAAAGCUACCUGGGCUAAACUGGGAGAGGCGAAUGGAGACUGUAGAUCUAGAGUGAGGAAGAGGAAAGUGGAAUUCCGCGUGUAGUGGUGAAAUGCGUAGAGAUGCGGAGGAACACAGUGGCGAAAGCGACUUUCUGGUCCUUAACUGACGCUGAGGCGGCGAAAAGCAUGGGGGAGCGAACGGGG
rnacentral:rRNA from 1 species